rnacentral:lncRNA from 1 species
GUCAACACAUCGGAACCACGGAGAAAAGCGAGGAGGAGAAAGAUAACAACUGUUAACAUUUUGUACUUGUCUUUAACCGAUUCGUGACUACUGCUUCCAACCGUUACAUUUUAUUGCGCGUGACUUUCACUAUCAGCGAAUAUAAAAACAUGUCUACGAGGAUCAUGUACAAGGGAAAGCAUCUAAAGAAAGAAAGCAUUUGAGGUUUGACAGUACUGUGUGUUCGUGUAAUGCUGCAUUUCAUGCUGCGCUUAAAAGUCCGUGUAGGAAUCGCUACUGCUUUGACCCUGGAUGUGGGGAAAGUGCUUGAGUGCUGAGCCCUGUUUUGGUCCCACCAUUCUUCCCAGGACAUUCAAAAAGGAAAAGAAGACAAGAAUAAUUCUGAUAUCGGCCAAGCAGGAAUAUGGAGCACAGUGUAACAAAUACAACAACAGCCACUAUUCCUCCGAUGAGAGCAUGGUCAGGGCCAUUCUGGCCAGCCAGAGAAUUGGGAUCUGCAAGAGAAUGAAGAACAGUGUUUUAGCUAGUCUGUUACUGUCUCCUGAAGUACAUAUCUGGAACUAGAUGAGCCAUUUUAAAACAGCAUGUUUCUAUUAAAAUGAAUUUGCAUUGAUACAUAUUAUGCCAAUCAUUCAAUCAACAAAUAUUGGUUGUGUGGCUACAGCACACAAAACACCUGGAGGUAUAAGAUUAAACAUGUUAAUGAUUUUUACCAUUGAUUUCACAUUUUAAGGAAAAGAUGGC